rnacentral:rRNA from 1 species
GACUAACGCUGGCGGCGUGCUUACCACAUGCAAGUCGAACGGUCUGACAACCGGCCUCGGUUGGUUGCCAGAUAGUGGCGGACGGGUGAGUAACGCGUGGAUAACCUGCCCAUCAGACAGGGAUAACACCGGGAAACUGGUGCUAAUACCGGAUACGUACGUAAGGGGGCAUCCCUUUACGUAGAAAGACGAUGCAAAUCGCUAUUGAUGGAUGGGUCCGCGUCCCAUUAACUAGUUGGUGAGGUAACGGCUCACCAAGGCGACGAUGGGUAGCCGGCCUGAGAGGGCGACCGGCCACACUGGAACUGAGACACGGUCCAGACUCCUACGGGAGGCAGCAUG